AGACAUAUUUGGACUAAAAUUGACUUAAGACUGCCCUAAUUACUAUUCGACAGCCUCCUUUUCCUCCUCUUCGUUCUACGCCUCCGACCAAAACUCUCAUCCUCUUGGUUCUUCGAAUCCAACCAGAACUUGACGCCUCGUCCUCCUUCUUUUUCGCGUCACACUAGCUCCUCUGCUCUAAGACAGUGAACAAGAUCGGAGAUCCUCCUCUUCGUUCUACUCCUCCGACCAAAACUCUCAUCCUCUUGGUUCUUCGAAUCCAACCAGAACUUGACGCCUCGUUCUCCUUCUUUUUCGCGUCACACUAGCUCUUCUGCUCUAAGACAGUGAACAAGAUCGGAGAUCCUCCUCUUCAUUCUACUCCUCCGACCAAAACUCUCAUCCUCUUGGUUCUUCGAAUCCAACCAGAACUUGACGCCUCGUCCUAUUUCUUUUUCGCGUCACACUAGCUCCUCUGCUCUAAGACAGUGAACAAGAUCGGAGAUCGAGGCCGCUGUUUCGGAGAAACUUUGAGCUUCUGAGUCAUAGGAUUUGUGUUUCAUCUACCAAGACAUUCUUCAUUGAGCUGGGCAAGUUCGAAGCUUGGUGACCAUGUAACUGGAGCUUUCUGGGCAUUCUUUAUCUCUGAUACUUGGAACCUCUUGCAAUUGCUUUGGACAAGUAGAAAUGGUCACAACAGGCUUAAGGAAAGGGCAUUACUAGAUUAAAUCAUUCCUACACCCAUUAUUUUGAAGGUCAGAUUGAAUCAUUCCUACACCCUUCUGUUGCAGGGCAUGAGAAUUCCAACAUAUGACAACCAGUUGCUGAACUUAGCUGAGGAUCUAGGCCGACGAUUGUUACCUGCAUUCGACACUCCUUUAGGCCCCUUGUCACAUUUAGCUUGAAUGCACUGUCAGGGAGGCACCACAAAGGCGUGGAUGUUGAGGUUGGAGAUUUUCGAAGGGCUACCACAUAAAUUCAUGGGAGUUGGCUAUGAUUAUGAAAAGAUAUGAACAUCUUUCUUGCCACUUGUUUUGUUUUUGCUUCACAUAUAUUCUUGUCUAUCUUGGUGUAGGUAAUGAGCUCUGUGGUAAUGGUGUUGGAGCUAGAGUUGGAGCUGAACAGUAUGGAAAAGACAUGAUGAAGCUUAAACAAAUUGUCAACCAGUUGUACAAUGACUCCCACAUAAAGCCUACAAUUGUAGGACCUGGAGGAUUUUAUGAUCAAAAGUGGUUUGCCACGCUUCUUCAGUUUUCUGGUUCAGGCGUAGUCAAUGCUGUCACUCAGCAUCUUUACAAUCUGGGUCCAGAUAGUUGGAAGCAAUGGGUUCGAAGAAGAAGGAAAAGGCUGAACGAGAGAAAAAGUCAAAGAAGUUGUGUGAUGCGCUCGAAAGCAAACGCAUAAUUUAACCCUGAAAUGUCAUUAGUAGUAUAAAGUAAAUAGGGAUCGUUCUAUUC